AGCGUGGCGAUCUCGCAAAUGUGGUGUUCCCCUGUUGCUUGCAUGGAAUAUUGUGUAAGUUCAGUAUAUAAAUUGUUGGCUUAAGCUGGAGGAAAUUAAAUGAUAUGAACAUAUUGGGAAUGUGGGCGUGGUUAAAGAAAAAUCCUUGUUGCCAAGAAAAUGUAAAAAUUUCCUCAUGCUGAUUCUUCUAAAAAUGACAUAGACCUGUUUGGUCCUCCCAGGCGAACAAAACAUGAAAUGGUUGCCAUGGAGAAAAACCAGCAGAAAAGCUGACAUUUUGAAAGAAAGUUUUUUUUUUAUUAUUAAUUUGUCACAUACGGCUCUACCCACCCCCACCCUCGCGGGGGUGGGUAGCACCUGCAUUCCAACACCGCUCGCAACUUUAAUUUCACUUUGAAGCCUCAUUUUGGAGUCACCACCGGGAGACCAAAUAUCCAGGCCAUGAAGAAGUUGCUGACAAAAAGCAGAUCCACACCUGCGGGAAUGCGCACAUUAAAGGAUGCAGCAGCCCUGCCCUCUGGAGGAGAGUGCAGCAGCAACGCUGUCAUCUGCUGGGGAAAAGCAUCAAGCACCAAAAGAAGCAGAAGAAUCUGAAAAGACGUUGGUUCAGGGAGGGAAGUGACUGAGUUUAUAUUUAGGUGUGUAUUUAUCAGUGACUGUUUAUGGCAUAAAUGAAGAAUACAGAGGUGGAGGCGCCCAUUUUCUCACCCAUCUUGAACUGAUUUGAAAACAAAUCAAAG